GAUAAACGCUGGCGGCGCACAUAAGACAUGCAAGUUGAACGGACUUAAUCGAAAUAUUUAUAUUUUGAAGCGGUUAGUGGCGGACUGGUGAGUAACGCGUAAGGAACCUGCCUAUUAGAGGGGAAUAACAGUGAGAAAUCAUUGCUAAUACCGCAUAUGCCAUAGAUAUCACAUGAUAACAGUGGGCAAGGAGCAAUCCGCUAAUAGAUGGCCUUGCGUCUGAUUAGAUAGUUGGUGGGGUAACGGCCUACCAAGUCGACGAUCAGUAGCCGGACUGAGAGGAUGAGCUGCCACAUUGGGAGUGAGAUACGGCCCAGACUCCUACGGGAGGGAGCAGUCGGGAAUAGUGCGCAAGGGAGGAAACUCUGACGCAGUGACGCCGCGUAUAGGAAGAAGGUUUUCGGAUUGUAAACUAUUGUCGUUAGGGAAGAGAAAGGACAGUACCUAAGGAGGAAGCUCCGGCUAACUACGUG
rnacentral:rRNA from 1 species